GAUGAACGCUGGCGACGUGCUUAACACAUGCAAGUCGAACGGUGAACGAGGGAGCUUGCUCCCUCCGGAUCAGUGGCGAACGGGUGAGUAACACGUGAGCAAUCUGCCCUGGACUCUGGGAUAAGCGUUGGAAACGACGUCUAAUACCGGAUACGAGACGUGAAGGCAUCUUCAACGUCUGGAAAGAACUUCGGUCCAGGAUGAGCUCGCGGCCUAUCAGGUAGUUGGUGAGGUAAUGGCUCACCAAGCCUACGACGGGUAGCCGGCCUGAGAGGGUGACCGGCCACACUGGGACUGAGGCACGGCCCAGACUCCUACGGGAGGCAGCAGUGGGGAAUAUUGCACAAUGGGCGAAAGCCUGAUGCAGCAACGCCGCGUGAGGGACGACGGCCUUCGGGUUGUAAACCUCUUUUAGCAGGGAAGAAGCGAAAGUGACGGUACCUGCAGAAAAAGCACCGGCUAACUACGUGCCAGCCGCCGCAGUAACAC
rnacentral:rRNA from 1 species